CGUCGCUCAACGGAUAAAAGGUACCCCGGGGAUAACAGGCUGAUCUUGCCCAAGAGUCCAUAUCGACGGCAUGGUUUGGCACCUCGAUGUCGGCUCGUCGCAUCCUGGGGCUGGAGUAGGUCCCAAGGGUUGGGCUGUUCGCCCAUUAAAGCGGUACGCGAGCUGGGUUUAGAACGUCGUGAGACAGUUCGGUCCCUAUCCGCUGUGCGCGUAGGAAACUUGAGAAGAGCUGUCCCUAGUACGAGAGGACCGGGAUGGACGAACCUCUGGUGUGUCAGUUGUUCUGCCAAGAGCACGGCUGAUUAGCUACGUUCGGAAGUGAUAACCGCUGAAAGCAUCUAAGCGGGAAGCACGCUUCAAGAUGAGGUUUCCAUGGGCUUCGGCCCGAGAGGCUCCCAGCUAGACUACUGGGUUGAUAGGCCAGACGUGGAAGCACAGUAAUGUGUGUAGCUGACUGGUACUAAUAAGCCGAUAACUUGACACAACAAAG
rnacentral:rRNA from 1 species